UUGCCUGUAGCCCCCAGCCAGCUCCCGUCCCCAGCAUUAGAUUUCUGACCCUCGAAGCUCUCGGUGAUGAGGCCAGGUGGAGCGGUGCUCUUGCUGGCCCCACCCCAGCAGGGCCACAGUCACCAGCUGCUGCAUGCUGGCACCUGGGCCAGCGCUGAAGCAGAGUUUUCUGCGACAAUGGAAAUAUUUUGAGUCUGGACCAUCCAGCACAUAACCCCGGACCGAAGGAUGGGGGUACACACAUCCCUCCCUCGGGUGUGAUUGGCAGUAAAGGAAGGCCAGGACCACCUUUCUACCCCUCGCUGUAUCAAGGCCAAGAGGACCCUUGUUCAACGAUGUGGCUACCUUGGGACCCUGGCCAGG